rnacentral:rRNA from 1 species
UACAGAGGUCUCAACCGUUGUUCGGAUUCAUUGGGCGUAAAGGGUGCGUAGGCGGCGGGGUAAGUCAGGUGUGAAAUCUCGGGGGCUCAACCCCCGAAACUGCACUUGAUACUGCCUCGCUUGAGUACUGGAGAGGAGACUGGAAUUUACGGUGUAGCAGUGAAAUGCGUAGAUAUCGUAAGGAAGACCAGUGGCGAAGGCGAGUCUCUGGACAGUUACUGACGCUGAGGCACGAAGGCCAGGGGAGCAAACGGG